CUACAUGCUGAAGGAUAUUUAAGGCCCAGCCUUAAGGAGGGAACUUGGAACUCUUUUGGCUGAGUUUCCACUGGUGCACACCAGUAAAAUAUACAGUCCUUUUGCCUGAUUGGAUUGUCUAUGGGUCUUCCUUGGUGGUGGGCGAAUACCUGGACCCUAACACAUGGAAGGACUGGAUCUUGAGAGGCAGAAAGGUGCUACAAAGUAUUUUAAGAACAGAGACACAAAAGUAA
rnacentral:lncRNA from 1 species